rnacentral:sRNA from 1 species
CAAAAACAGAUGAAUAAACCUGUGCAGACUGCAGUAUACGAUGUGCGGGCAGCUGCGAUAGAGAAUGUCGCAUUCGUGUAUGAAUGUGCUUGCAUGACAAGGAGAUGUUGGAAUUCUGACUGAGCCUUGAUUGCCUCAGGAUCCGCAUCUGAAUGGAGGGGUGAAGGUCAGCAUCAGACAAUUGAGACGAUUAAUCUGGUAUAGACCUUUUGAGUGACCAAACCUACGUCCUCCUAAGUGCUAGUCUUAUAGCCCAAACACACCAGCUCAACCCCCUGCAGGCCGAGACAGCGCCACGAUUCUGUAGUUUAUGUAUAGUCAGUUCGUUGAUGAAUAGACAUUGAGCAAAGCGCAAACCAGAUUGGAUCUCGACAACUUAUUCAUCAUGCCAGCAAUUCCUUCGCCAUCUUCAGAUGUCACAGCAAGGUCUGGCACUCGAAAAGCCUGAAAUUAUUUGCCAAGGAUCAGAAUAGGGCUCCUUGUUACCGGGGAGGUGAACCUUCCGAUGCCUCGAUACUUUUUUGCAUGCAUGGAUACAGG